rnacentral:rRNA from 1 species
UACGGAGGGUGCGAGCGUUGUCCGGAAUCAUUGGGCGUAAAGGGCGCGUAGGUGGCGGGACAAGCGUGCGGUGAAAGCUCGGGGCUCAACCCCGGGUCGGCCGUGCGAACUGUUUUGCUUGAGCACUGUAGAGGCAGGCGGAAUUCCGGGUGUAGCGGUGGAAUGCGUAGAGAUCCGGAAGAACACCGGUGGCGAAGGCGGCCUGCUGGGCUAUGGCUGACACUGAGGCGCGACAGCGUGGGGAGCAAACAGG